GCGGAAGUCGUAUAGCGGCUAAUAUACCAGCUUGCCAUGCUGGGGACGGCAGUUCGAUUCUGCUCUUCCGCUC
rnacentral:tRNA from 1 species